AUGAACGCUAGCGACAGGCUUAACACAUGCAAGUCGAGGGGCAGCACAGGUAGCAAUACCGGGUGGCGACCGGCGCACGGGUGAGUAACGCGUAUGCAACUUGCCUAUCAGAGGGGGAUAACCCGGCGAAAGUCGGACUAAUACCGCAUGAAGCAGGGGCCCCGCAUGGGGAUAUUUGCUAAAGAUUCAUCGCUGAUAGAUAGGCAUGCGUUCCAUUAGGCAGUUGGCGGGGUAACGGCCCACCAAACCGACGAUGGAUAGGGGUUCUGAGAGGAAGGUCCCCCACAUUGGUACUGAGACACGGACCAAACUCCUACGGGAGGCAGCAGUGAGGAAUAUUGGUCAAUGGCCGAGAGGCUGAACCAGCCAAGUCGCGUGAGGGAUGAAGGUUCUAUGGAUCGUAAACCUCUUUUAUAAGGGAAUAAAGUGCGGGACGUGUCCCGUUUUGUAUGUACCUUAUGAAUAAGGAUCGGCUAACUCCGUGCCAGCAGCCGCGGUAAUACGGAGGAUCCGAGCGUUAUCCGGAUUUAUUGGGUUUAAAGGGUGCGUAGGCGGCCUUUUAAGUCAGCGGUGAAAGUCUGUGGCUCAACCAUAGAAUUGCCGUUGAAACUGGGAGGCUUGAGUAUGUUUGAGGCAGGCGGAAUGCGUGGUGUAGCGGUGAAAUGCUUAGAUAUCACGCAGAACCCCGAUUGCGAAGGCAGCCUGCCAAGCCAUUACUGACGCUGAUGCACGAAAGCGUGGGGAUCAAACAGGAUUAGAUACCCUGGUAGUCCACGCAGUAAACGAUGAUCACUAGCUGUUUGCGAUACACUGUAAGCGGCACAGCGAAAGCGUUAAGUGAUCCACCUGGGGAGUACGCCGGCAACGGUGAAACUCAAAGGAAUUGACGGGGGCCCGCACAAGCGGAGGAACAUGUGGUUUAAUUCGAUGAUACGCGAGGAACCUUACCCGGGUUUGAACGCAUUCGGACCGAGGUGGAAACACCUUUUCUAGCAAUAGCCGUUUGCGAGGUGCUGCAUGGUUGUCGUCAGCUCGUGCCGUGAGGUGUUGGGUUAAGUCCCGCAACGAGCGCAACCCCUGUCCUUAGUUGCCAGCAUGUAGAGAUGGGAACUCUAAGGAGACUGCCGUAGAUAAUACGGAGGAAGGUGGGGAUGACGUCAAAUCAUCAUGCCCUUUAUGUCUUGGGCUACACACGUACUACAAUGGCGUGGACAAAGGGAGGCCACCUGGUGACAGGGAGCGAAUCCCCAAACCACGUCUCAGUUCGGAUCGGAGUCUGCAACCCGACUCCGUGAAGCUGGAUUCGCUAGUAAUCGCGCAUCAGCCAUGGCGCGGUGAAUACGUUCCCGGGCCUUGUACACACCGCCCGUCAAGCCAUGGGAGCCGGGGGUACCUGAAGUCCGUAACCGCGAGGAUCGGCCUAGGGUAAAACUGGUGACUGGGGCU
rnacentral:rRNA from 1 species